UGCGAACUCCUACGGGAGGCAGCAGUGAGGAAUAUUGGUCAAUGGGCGAGAGCCUGAACCAGCCAAGUAGCGUGCAGGAUGACGGCCCUAUGGGUUGUAAACUGCUUUUGUAUGGGGAUAAAGUCAAUCACGUGUGAUUGUUUGCAGGUACCAUACGAAUAAGGACCGGCUAAUUCCGUGCCAGCAGCCGCGGUAAUACGGAAGGUUCGGGCGUUAUCCGGAUUUAUUGGGUUUAAAGGGAGCGUAGGCCGGAGAUUAAGUGUGUUGUGAAAUGUAGACGCUCAACGUCUGACUUGCAGCGCAUACUGGUUUCCUUGAGUACGCACAACGUUGGCGGAAUUCGUCGUGUAGCGGUGAAAUGCUUAGAUAUGACGAAGAACUCCGAUUGCGAAGGCAGCUGACGGGAGCGCCACUGACGCUUAAGCUCGAAGGUGCGGGUAUCGAACAGGAUUAGAAACCCCAGUAGUCCAGAGAA
rnacentral:rRNA from 1 species